rnacentral:rRNA from 1 species
GGGGAGUGCGGUCUCAAGGCUGAAAGUCGGAGAAAUUGAUGAAAUGGCAGCACAAUGCCUGGGGUAUGCGGGCUAAUUUGGCUCAACAUGGGGAAUGUUACCAGGUCAUGACUGAGGUGGAGGUUGAUAGAUUAAUUCUAGAUAGAUAGAUAGAUUGGUUCUUGAUCCUCUGGACGGUUGUGCAUGGCCGCUCCUGAUUGGUGGAUUGAUUUGUCUGGUUGAUUCCGUCAACAAGUGAGACCUCUGCCUCUGAAUACAGGGGGG